rnacentral:piRNA from 1 species
UAGACUUUUAUUUUCAUCUAUCUAUGUCU